GACGAACGCUGGCGGCGUGCUUAACACAUGCAAGUCGAACGGAAAGGCCCUGCUUUUGUGGGGUGCUCGAGUGGCGAACGGGUGAGUAACACGUGAGUAACCUGCCCUUGACUUUGGUAUAACUUCAGGAAACUGGGGCUAAUACCGGAUAGGAGCUCCUGCUGCAUGGUGGGGGUUGGAAAGUUUCGGCGGUUGGGGAUGGACUCGCGGCUUAUCAGCUUGUUGGUGGGGUAGUGGCUUACCAAGGCUUUGACGGGUAGCCGGCCUGAGAGGGUGACCGGCCACAGGGGGACUGAGACACGGCACAGACUCAUACGGGAGGCAGGAGUGGGGAAUAGUGCACAAGGGGCGGAAGCGUGAUGCAGCAACGCCGCGUGCGGGAUGACGGCCUUCGGGUUGUAAACCGCUUUCGCGUGUGACGAAGCGUGAGUGACGGUAAUGGGGAAAGAAGCACCGGCUAACUACGU
rnacentral:rRNA from 1 species